rnacentral:rRNA from 1 species
UACGUAGGAUGCGAGCGUUAUCCGGAUUUAUUGGGUUUAAAGGGUGCGUAGGCGGAUUUGUAAGUCAGAUGUGAAAUCUUCCGGCUCAACCGGGAAAUUGCAUUUGAUACUGUUGGUCUUGAGUGUAGAUGAGGAGGGUGGAAUUUCUGGUGUAGCGGUGAAAUGCUUAGAUAUCAGCAAGAACACCAAUUGCGAAGGCAGCUCUCUGGACUUUAACUGACGCUGAGGCACGAAAGCGUGGGGAGCAAACAGG